rnacentral:snRNA from 1 species
GAGCUCACUUCGGCAACACAUAUACUAAAAUUGGAACAAUAGAGAGAAGAUGAGCAUGGCCUCUGCACAAGGAUGACGCACAAAUUUGUGAAGUGUUCCAUAUUUUU